rnacentral:ncRNA from 2 species
CAAAACCACUAGGGGUGUCUUUCUAUGACUGAGACGUGUAUAUAUACACGGACCCUUUGAACCUGAUCUAGUUCGCACUAGCGUAGGGAAGUGGCGACACUUGCUU